UUUUGACCGAAGAAAGAAGAGAAAAGAACACACGAGAAACACCCAAAAGAAGCAUGAACCGAAUAAAGGUAAGUGAUGAAAGACCGCACGCUUUAUUCGUUUCAUUCUUUUUUUGGUCUCUUUUUCAUCACUCGUUUCUAAGGUUUGUUCUGUGUUGUGUUCUUUCUUCACUCACAAUAAAGCGUGCGUCACUCCUUUACCCUUACCUUUAUUGUGAAGAGAAGAAGAAAGAACACGAACAGAACAA
rnacentral:ribozyme from 1 species